GUCCAAUAAGCCACAGCUAUGGAUAUGAAGGUGGGCAGAACCAAGGUGCCCUCCCUACACCUUCCUGGGGCCUCCAGCGAUCCUGAGCUCAGCCUCCUGACCUGCAGACCCCUCAGCUCUGGCCCUCACGUCCUGCUUGCUGUACCUGCUUUAUCCCAUAUCACCAUCUCCAUUCCUCAGCAUAGUGACAAUCCCAGUUCCUACCCAUUCCACUGGCUUCUCCAUUUGGCUUGGAGCUCUUUAGCUGGAUUGAGACGACUACUCUGAUGAGUGCCAUGUCACUGGCUCAACAAAAUGGGCCCAAGUGAGUCAAUGUCAUUGACAUGAAGGUGCUGUCAGUUUGGUGGGAACCAAGGGAAUGAGACUGUGUUUUAGCUGCGUUCGUUUGAACAGUUACACACUUAGGGCUUCUUAUGCGGAUGCUCAGAGAGAAAUAUGGAAGACGAGAUCUCGUAGAAAACAAGAAGACAU
rnacentral:lncRNA from 1 species